UACGUAGGGUGCAAGCGUUGUCCGGAAUUAUUGGGCGUAAAGAGCUCGUAGGCGGUUUGUCGCGUCGGCUGUGAAAACUCGGGGCUCAACUCCGGGCCUGCAGUCGAUACGGGCAGACUGGAGUUCGGCAGGGGAGACUGGAAUUCCUGGUGUAGCGGUGAAAUGCGCAGAUAUCAGGAGGAACACCGGUGGCGAAGGCGGGUCUCUGGGCCGAUACUGACGCUGAGGAGCGAAAGCGUGGGGAGCGAACAGG
rnacentral:rRNA from 1 species